rnacentral:lncRNA from 1 species
GACUGGAGGCGCGCGACGCGGGCGCAAUGGCGGGGACCCGGGGCUUGAUGCUGCUUGGGCCUGGCCCAGUGGCGGGUCCUAGGGACGUGGGUACCUGCAGAGGCCGGCAGAUGGAGAUUCAGAAACAUAAGGACAACAAGAAACUUCCCCAAGGAAAAUUAAGGAAGUUUUUCAAAGAACCCUAUUCCGAGUAAGAAGUGUGUUGCAUGAAUUUCUAAGGUCAAAGAUGUUGAUUCAUUCAUAGUGUGAGGCCCAGAAAUCGGCAUUUUUAAACAAGUACACUGGACAUUUCUAAAGCUGGCUAAAGUUUGAGAGACACUAUCCAAGGGAAAUUUCUCCGUAACUCUUUUUCUCAGAAGAAAAGUAAACUAAAAGUAAAAAUAAGCAGUACCACUAAGUUUCAAGUGAUCUUCUCCUAAAAGAAGAAAAGGCCUAUAUUCAGGCACAAGAAAAGUAUAUUCUCUUUUAUCCAUGCAGAAAACAGCUAGUGGUUGAAAAUCAACACUUCAGACCUCUUGUCUACAUAAAGCCAACUGCCCCUUUGUUUUACUGAUGUCUUCAAUGAUUUUACUUAGAUUUUUCUACGGCAUUUACUGAAUUAGCUAAGCAGACACAGAUCCAGUCCUUCAUGAAUAUGGUUUGGAGACUCUCUACUGAAUCAGCACUCUUAGCUUCACCGACAUAGUCUCUUGGUAGACCAGAAGGUGUAUCUUAUCUGGAAAGACUGCUAUAUCUACACCCACAAAAAGCAUUAUUUAUCUGAACACUAAAUUCUGACUUCCUUGCCAUUUUAGGGAGCCACUUUAAAACAUUUUCAAUAUUUGCUAUUUUGUAGCAGCAAAUCCUUCAGAAGGAGGUCAAGUGAUGGCCUUUAUCUGUUCCCAGUGUCUUGCCCUUAGGUCCUCAGGGCACCCCCUGGACAGCAG